ACAGAUAUGGAAACUGAGCCCUCACACAUGGACUGAAUUCUGACAAGCAGAGGAUAAAGGCAGAACAACAUGACUGAAGGCGAUGAGGAACAGCUGAUCACCUGUGGAAGUCAUUUGUCCUAAAUUGUCAUGGACAGACCAUGUGCCUUACAGCAAGAAAAUUCUGUGAAUAAACAGGAAGCCAGCCAGCCAGGGAAGAUGCUUUUGUGAUAUAUCCCAGCAUGCUGAUGACCCCAAGGAGGACCACUGGAUACCUAGCAAGGAGCUGGCUGCAGCAUACCAUGAAUCCUCACAGCAACUUAAUGAGAUUCUCCCAUUGAGAAGCAUUUCUGUGAGCUCUGGAAGUCAGGUGAAAAGGAGAAGUCAUAAUCUAUGGCAGCAGCUAUGGGAAGGAAAAAGAAGAACUGAUUGAAGAGUGGCAACCAGAACCUCUUGUUCCUCCUGUCCCAAAAGACCAUCCUGCUCUCAACUACAACAUCGUUUCAGGCUUUUUAGUGCACCAUUCAUAAAUAUGAACAGUAUCCAGUAAAUACCAAACAUUUGAAGAAAGGGUCUACAAUAGAAGAGAGAUCAAAACAAAUGAAUAGAACAAAGGAACUUAGAAGAAA
rnacentral:lncRNA from 10 species